AUGUACAUGCCUACAACACUGCAUUAAUGCACCAGAUCCCAUUAGAACUCCAUAAUUAAGCGUGCUCCGGUUAGAGUAGUACUCGGAAGGGUGAUCUCCUAGGAAUUCCUAGUGUUUUACAUG
rnacentral:rRNA from 1 species